rnacentral:rRNA from 1 species
UAUUCCCCACUGCUGCCUCCCGUAGGAGUCUGGGCCGUGUCUCAGUCCCAAUGUGGCCGUUCUACCUCUCAGUACGGCUACCGAUCGUCGCUUUGGUGGGCCGUUACCUCACCAACUGGCUAAUCGGACGCGAGCCCAUCUUCAAACAAUAAAUCUUUGAUAGCUUCUCCAUGCGGAAAUACUAUCUUAUGGGGUAUUAGUGGAAGUUUCCCUCCAUUAUUCCCCGCUUGAAGGUAGGUUGCUCACGUGUUACUCACCCGUCCGCCACUAAGCUUUGAGAGCAAGCUCUCAAAACUCCGUUCGACUUGCAUGUGUUAAGCGUGCCGCCAGCGUUCAUCCUGAGCCAA